rnacentral:misc_RNA from 1 species
UCUUCCUCCACCUCCAAUUUUCAGUCCGAGUGGCGUCCUGCACGCGCCACCUAUUACGCCGCCGCCGACCCACGUGACGUUGUGGGUGGCGCGUGCGGAUAUGGGGAUUUGGAGAGAAAUGGGUAUGGAAAAGCUACAGCUGGGUUAAGUACUGUGCUUUUUGACAAGGGUCAGAUCUGUGGUGCUUGUUAUGAAGUGAGGUGUGUGGAGGAUCUGCGGUGGUGCAUUCCGGGUACUUCUAUAAUUGUUACAGCCACUAAUUUUUGUGCACCACCAUCUAGAUCAAACCCAUAAUUUGGUGCACAAAAAUUAGUGG